AUUGAACGCUGGCGGCAGGCCUAACACAUGCAAGUCGCACGAGUGGCGGACGGGUGAGUAAUGUCUGGGAAACUGCCUGAUGGAGGGGGAUAACUACUGGAAACGGUAGCUAAUACCGCAUACCAUCGGAUGUGCCCAGAUGGGAUUAGCUAGUAGGUGGGGUAAAGGCUCACCUAGGCGACGAUCCCUAGCUGGUCUGAGAGGAUGACAGCCCACACUGGAACUGGGACACGGUCCGGAGUCCGACGGGAGGCAGCAGGGGGGAAGUUUGCACAAGGGGCGCAAGCCUGAGGCAGCCAUGCCGGGGGUAUGAAGAAGGUCUUGGGGUUUAAAAGUACUUUCAGCGGGGGGGCGUUACCCGCAGAAGAAGCACCGGUUAACUCCGUGCCAGCAGCCGCGGAAAUA
rnacentral:rRNA from 1 species